rnacentral:rRNA from 1 species
AUUGAACGCUGGCGGCAUGCCUUACACAUGCAAGUCGAACGGCAGCGGACCUUCGGGUGCCGGCGAGUGGCGAACGGGUGAGUAAUAUAUCGGAACAUACCUUGUAGUGGGGGAUAACUAUCCGAAAGGAUAGCUAAUACCGCAUACGCUCUAAGGAGGAAAGCGGGGGAUCGUAAGACCUCGUGCUAUAAGGGUGGCCGAUAUCUGAUUAGCUAGUUGGUGAGGUAAAGGCUCACCAAGGCGACGAUCAGUAGCUGGUCUGAGAGGACGACCAGCCACACUGGAACUGAGACACGGUCCAGACUCCUACGGGAGGCAGCAGUGGGGAAUUUUGGACAAUGGGGGCAACCCUGAUCCAGCAAUGCCGCGUGAGUGAAGAAGGCCUUCGGGUUGUAAAGCUCUUUUGUCAGGGAAGAAACGGUUGUGGCUAAUAUCCAUGGCUAAUGACGGUACCUGAAGAAUAAGCACCGGCUAACUACGUGCCAGCAGCCGCGGUAAGAC